rnacentral:rRNA from 1 species
CAGCAGCCGCGGUAAUACGUAGGGUGCGAGCGUUAAUCGGAAUUACUGGGCGUAAAGCGUGCGCAGGCGGUUCUCCAAGUCCGUUGUGAAAGCCCCGGGCUCAACCUGGGAAUGGCAGUGGAAACUAGGGGACUUGAAUCUGGCAGAGGGGGGUGGAAUUCCACGUGUAGCAGUGAAAUGCGUAGAGAUGUGGAGGAACACCGAUGGCGAAGGCAGCCCCCUGGGCUGAGAUUGACGCUCAGGCACGAAAGCGUGGGGAGCAAACAGGAUUAGAUACCCUGGUAGUCCACGCCCUAAACGAUGUCAACUAGGUGUUGGGGAAGCGAUUUCUCAGUACCGCAGCUAACGCGUGAAGUUGACCGCCUGGGGAGUACGGUCGCAAGAUUAAAACUCAAAGGAAUUGACGG